UGCGUAGGCGGCCUAUUAAGUUGGAUGUGAAAUACCCGGGCUUAACUUGGGGGUGCAUCCGAUACUGGCAGGCUAGAGUGCAGGAGAGGAAAGCGGAAUUCCUAGUGUAGCGGUGAAAUGCGUAGAUAUUAGGAGGAACACCAGUGGCGAAGGCGGCUUUCUGGACUGUAACUGACGCUGAGGCACGAAAGCGUGGGGAGCAAACA
rnacentral:rRNA from 1 species